UACGUAGGGUGCAAGCGUUAAUCGGACUUACUGGGCGUAAAGCGUGCGCAGGCGGUGAUGUAAGACCGAUGUGAAAUCCCCGGGCUCAACCUGGGAACUGCAUUUGUGACUGCAUGGCUAGAGUUUGGCAGAGGGGGGUAGAAUUCCACGUGUAGCAGUGAAAUGCGUAGAUAUGUGGAGGAACACCGAUGGCGAAGGCAGCCCCCUGGGUCAAGACUGACGCUCAUGCACGAAAGCGUGGGGAGCAAACAGG
rnacentral:rRNA from 1 species